UGUGUGUGUGUGUGUGUGUGUGUGUGUAUGUAUGCGGGGUGUGUGUGUGUAUACAUUUACACACACACACACACACACACG
rnacentral:miRNA from 1 species